UUAACCUGCCCGGUAGGGUUGUUGGAGGGGAUUAAGUGAGUCUAUAGGGUCCUGAGAACAGUGUCCAGGGCUGCUGGGGAGCCGUCAGCCGGUGCUGGCUAGCAUAUUAAAUAUACACCAUCCGUAUCAUUUAAUUUAAUCUUUACAAGCACCCUACAAAUUAAAAGGUAUUUUUACUCAUUUGAUGGGUAAGAAAAUUGAUGGUAUAUUCAUGCAUGCACAUCCUAUCAGCUAUUGGUUCUGUUUCUCUAGAGGACCCUGAGCGAUACAAGCUGCAAACUCCCAGGUGCAUUUAGAACCAGAAUGACCCGCUCACUGCGGCCACGAGCUCCCGCCACAGCCGGAGUACCUGAAACGUGCCGACGGCCAUGGCCACACCUCAGUGGCAAGAACUAGAAAUUCCAGCACUUUCCCGAGGAAGGAGAAGCACAACUCUGUUUGGGGAUCUGUGAAAGUUCGGGUUUUCUGGGGCCUUUUGUAUUUUGUUUUAGGAUCCUUUUUUAUUAGUAUUAUACAAACCACACAGAAAUGUCUGAAAUUUCCACUUCUAAGCUGGUUGUACGUCACCUGACAGGCACAGUGCUAGGUGACAAUGGAAGACGCGGACACUUGAGAAGCCAUCCUGCUCAGAAACGGAAGGAAAGGUCACUGUGUUGAAGGUGCCUGUUUCAGGUGUACAGUGUCGUGACUCGACACUUCCAUGCGUCACCCAGAGCUCAUCACCCUCCUUCAUUCCGAACCCCUGAGUGACCCAAACCUCCACCCACCUCCCCUCUGGUAACCGUCAGACUGUUCUCUGUAAUUAAGAGUCUGUUCCUUGGUUUGUGUCUCUCCCUUUUUCCCUUUGCUUGUUUGUUUUGCUUCUUAAACUCCACAUCUGAGUGAGAUCAUAUGGUGUUCCCACACCCCUUCUUCCACGCAGCUCUGGGCUCACAACAGGAGCCUAGCCUUCCACUGCUGCCAGAGCAGGAGAGAUGCUGGGCUCCAGGGAAAGGGCUGGCAGCUCUCAGAGGCCAGUGACCAGAGGCAAAGCUGGGAGAAAUGGCUCAUCUCGAAAAUGGAUGUCAGGCUCAGUCAGCUUUGCCUGCCUCUUCCUAAAGUUGAACUCACAUUUGCCCCCUGAUAGAGAAGGGCUUGCCGCAACGGGGUGGGUGGGGGGGGGGGGCGCCGGAGGGCAGAGAUAGACCUGGGCAUGGUGGGGGCAGGGGGAGCCGUCAGUCACUUCCAGACAGAACUGGGUGGUGCCAGCCAGGGGCCGGACCCCACAAAGUCAGCGAGGGUGAUCCUGGGUCAGGUCACCUCUCUGGAGCCUGAACAGCUCAUUUCGAACCCAGACAGGGCAUAGAAGAGCUCAAGCCAGCAGGCCACAAACCUUAGACUCACCCCAGAUCUGGGAUAGGUUUGCAAUUAAACCCAAGGACUGGAACUUGAAAGAUCAAAACACUUGUCAAGUUUACCCCAAUUUGCUUUAAAGUGAGAACAAUGACAUUUGAGAGCAGAUGGUGGGCUUAGGAUGUUGCUGUGUGGAUCGCGGGAUUCUAAAGAGGGAUGCACUUGAGUUCCAGGUUCCCUCCUCUCCCUGGCCACCCCAAGGCUCCCAAAGCACUGUCUCCUCCCAGGGCUGGGGGCCCAGGUGUGAACCCCAGACAAGCCCAGACAUCUGCCCAGCCCAGCUGGAAGGGCACAUUCACCCUCUGGGUCUGUUGGCUUUCCUCUGGGCUGACCCCAAGCAAGACCAGAGGAGUGUGGCGUGCUGAGUGAGCACCAGGCAGGGGAGGAAGUGAGCUGUUGACUUCUGCUUCCCCUCCCCCACGGGCCUUCCUGGGGGGUGGGCCUUCCUCCUUGUGGGGGCUGGGGAACCUGGCUUUCCCCUAAAACCUCUGCCCUUGAGAAGGAUGCCAGGCGGGGUGUAACCAGUGGCAGCCCCAGGGCACAAGCCACCUGUACCCCCAGCCAGCACGUCCCUUGGCUCCAGGCUCCUUCUCUCCCUCCGAGUGGGCUGCAGUGACCACUGGCAGGAAAGUGGCCGGCGCUCCCUCACAGACCCCACUCAGGAGGUCACGGAACUGUGGGAGGGCUUUGCAGCAAGCCUGAGGGCUGCAGGGCCCUGGUGCAGUCGCGGAAGCCCUCUGGCCCCUGGUUCCCCCCGCAAGCCAGGCUUUAGCCCUGAGCUCUGCCCUCUCUCCCAGUUCCAGUAGUGCGACCAGCAGCUCCCCGAUAAAUUCCAGUUGGGCACUGGGCACUAAGUGCCUAAUCCCUCUGAUCCUUGAGCCCACUCGGUGUAAGUGCAGCCGCACUUUACAGAUUUAGAAACCAGAGCCCAGAAGGCAGCUAGUCAACGGCAGAGCCUGUCAGAAGCCAGGUGCCCUUGCCCACGGCCUUAUGCCCUCUACCCUCGGGGUCUCUGGCCUUGACCCAGCCACCCCACCGUCCUCUGCUCGGGUCCACACUGACCCCACUGGCUUUCCCAGAGCCUCCACGAAGUCCCACAGGCCCUCAGGUUAAAACCCUCCAAAACGGCUCAGCCAGAACAAACUUGCAACCCGAAACAGGACUCUAGAAGGAGAGAGGCAGAAAGACAUGCAGGCCUCCCGCUACCUCCAGGCUCCCUUUACCCUCUCUCCCAUCUAACAACCGCGUCAUGGGUGCAGGUGCAGGGGUGAGCCCUGUCUGCCUAGCCACUGGGCGAUUAUUCCCCUUUCGCAGAUGGAAAACUAAGGCACAGAGAGGCCCCAUGGACCACCCAGGGUAUUAGCACUAAUAACUCAAAUCCCAAGGGCUGGGACUUGAGCCCAGACCACGCACCUCUAGGCCUGUCUCCCCACAGGGAGCACUGGCUGGUGACAGUAGAGAUCCGGGCCGCACACACUGCUUCUCACAGGGAAGGGGAGGACCGUCAUGCAAAAUCCGGAAAGGCCGUGUAGUGCCUUUGGGAUGCUAAGAAGUCUCCUCCUGUCCUGCCUUCUCGGCACAGCCCCGGCGAGCUGGCUCUUUGGUCUGUUGACUCACUGCUCUGGGAGACGAGGCUGGAGUAAGCGGGUCACAACCUCAUAGGGUCCGUUGGACACAUGCUGCAGCCUGUUUCCUACAACCCAAGAAGAAGCUCUUAUAUGAAGCUGUCAGAGCAGACAAAUCCAAACUAAGGAGACUUGCCUAGUAGCAUCGGUACACGGGGAGAGCUCGGGGAGAUGUAAGACAUCGCUGCCCUGGGAGUGCGGUUGGAGGUGGCCAGUGCCCAGAGAGACGUUACCUAAUGGGAUAACAGAACACUUACAACAUCUUUAAACAUCUGCACGCCAAGAGGUCACAGUAAGGAUGCGUCAAAGACUGAAAGUGGUAGGAUGGCUCCCUGAGAAAGUGCUCUUCAGAUGGUGGCCUCAUAGCCUUCUCUCUCCCUCGCCUGCUCCCACCACAAGCCUGUGACAAGCACCAUCUCUCCCAGCAUCUAAAGUUUCCUGCCACGGCUCUCUGGCGCUCUGGAAGGAUUUCGAGGGGGUUGUUAUGUGUGUACUUUUGAACGUUGCAAUUCUGUAUUGUUAAAGUCUAGCACUUAAUAAAAUAACCAUGACUGCUUAUUUGCAAAGAGUCUUGAUGUUCUGGAAGGUUCCUUCUUAUAAAUGGAAGCUGGUUCUUAUAAAUACUUGGUUAAUUAGCCAUGCUAUCUGAAAUAAAUCAUUUGCUCUCAGUUUU